AAGAUGUGUUAGGAUCAGUGAGAUAAAGAGGUUCAAAGCUCAGGCUCUGAUACCAUAAUAAAAGAAGAGCAUUUUGUGAUAAAUAGGAAGGAAUUCAUAUUGAUUUUGAAUUGUAAUUGUACAAGACAUUGCCCCUGAUUUAUACACGGUAGUAAAGCAAAAAAACAAAUCUGUACAGCACAAAUAAAAAUAAUAGCCUGCAGCAUCCCAUGUGUA
rnacentral:lncRNA from 1 species